UCCCUUCCUAAAUCAUAUGAUCGUUGAGCCAACCACUAUUUGUAAUCUUAAUUAAACAUUCUUAUCUGUUUUAUGUUUGGAACUCCUAUUAAUGAGACUGGAGUUAGCGCUAAUCUUUAGGUCAUGCUAGAAAUUUUAGGGCUUCUUCUAAUUUAACAACUACCUUUAUUUUUCUUA